rnacentral:rRNA from 1 species
UAGAUACCCUAUUAUAAAAAUUUAAAUUAAUUUACUAAAAAAUUAAUAGUUAUGUUCUUUAAAUUUAAAAAAUUUGGCGGUAUUUUAGUCUUAUUAGAGGAACCUGUUUAUUGAUUGAUAAUCCACGAUUUAUUUUACUUAUUUUGAAUAAUUCAUAUAUCGCUGUCAUGAAUAUAUUGAAAAAUUUAUUUUCUUUAUUUAUUUAUAUAGUUUAUGUUAAGUCAAGAUGUGGUUUAUAGAUAAGUAUAUAAUGGGUUACAUUAAAUUUUAUUUAUGGAUUUAAAAUGAAAAAUAAAAAUGAAAUUGGAUUUAAUAGUAAAUUUAUUUAUUUAGUUAAUAGAAG